rnacentral:lncRNA from 1 species
UCUGAAAUACUCGACUUUGGAUUGCACAGUUCAGUCUAUAAUCUGACUAGUCAGACUACAUAGUCUGACUGUAACAUAGGACAUCUUCUGUUUAUCCAGAAUUCAUUAGCUAUAUGGAUAGAGUGGUAGAAUUAGUAAACAUCACAAGUACUGUGGAAACUGUUUUUCCAAUGGAAUCUCAAUCUACCAGUGUCUAUCAAGAUCAGUGAACAAACUAUGUCAGGAGUUACACCUAUUUUUAAAAGAAACUACAAGAUCUGGUGGUAAUGGAUGCAAAAGAGACUCAUGUGAAAUACUAACUCAGCUGCUUUCCUCAUGAAUCCUUUAAAAUCUGUGAUCCCUGAAAUUAAGUACUUCCAGAGAUUAUAAAGUGUGUCAUCUACUACUGCAGUUCAUAUACUCUGUCAGACUCAAGAUAAAAGAUUCACAGAGAUCAUAAACUUGCCAGCUGCAAGACAGCAUAGAUAUACAUGCUUCUCUUCUGACUGUCAGUUUCUGGAGAACUUUCAGUUAUGUGGAGAAAAAAAUUUCCAGCUUUCUAGCUCUUCCUGUGUGUACACACUACUCUGAUGACUAUGUUGGUAUGAAGUCUAGUAAGUAAUGUAGUAGAGUAAGAGGAAUUUUAACCUCAGUACAUACUACAGGACACAAGAUGCUUCCUUUGAAAUAGCUUCAGUUUUAUAAGCAUAAAUAUUAGAAAUCUGAAAAACACAUAAAGAACCGAAUGAAAAAGAUGAACAUGUAGACUUCAGCUGAGAAAAGGAACCCAGGGUAAGAGAAAGGAAAAAAAAAAAAGAAAAAAAAAAAAAAAAAAAAAAAAAAAAAAAAAAAAAAAAAAAAAAAAAGGACUAAAAAAAUUUAAAAAAAAAAAAAAAAAAAAAAAAAAGGAAAGAAAAAAAAAGGACUAUAAUACAUUCAUAGUAACACAUAAUGUUGCAAGAAAGCAACUAUAGGAUAACAGAUGCUAGUAAAGAUAAAAAGAUGUUGAGUAUUUUUGAAGAAUGCCAGUUUUGAUUCUUUAUAGCCAUACUUUGAAAUAAGUGGAAUAUUUGUCAUUUCAGUACCUCAGGAAAAGCUCCCCCCAUCUCUGUUAUGAAAAAGUUUUAAUCAUAAUUUCUGUGUCAUUACCUUAUCAGAGAACUGGAUUAUGAAUCCUAACCUUUCCACUGCAUGUGACAAGAGCAGUUUUGUCAUCAGAUUUUGCAGAACAAGAUCAGCCUGAAUAUUCAAGUCACUAUUCAGCAUGAAAAAAGGGCUUUGUGUAAAUGUUGACAAGCAGGAAGUAUCACUGGUCCUGCAUGUUUAAAUUUAAAGUGGAUGAAUAAUCAUUACAGAAUCAAUUUACUUGUGAAAAUAUUCAGAAUCUUGUUUUCUCUGUUAACACAGUUUCUGAUAUGUAGUCAAUUUAUUUCAUGAUAUCACCUAUCUGAGCAGCAUUUAUUCCCCAAAUAAACAAAUAAAGACACUGAUAAAAAUGUGGGGG